UACGUAGGGGGCAAGCGUUGUCCGGAUUUAUUGGGCGUAAAGAGCGUGUAGGCGGUCAGGUAGGUCGGUUGUGAAAACUGGAGGCUCAACCUUCAGAGGUCGACCGAAACCCCCUGGCUAGAGUCCGGGAGAGGAGAGUGGAAUUCCGUGGUGUAGCGGUGAAAUGCGCAGAUAUCAGGAAGAACACCCGUGGCGAAAGCGGCUCUCUGGAACGGUACUGACGCUGAGACGCGAAAGCGUGGGGAGCGAACAGG
rnacentral:rRNA from 1 species